CCUUACCCACCUUUGACAUGUACGGAAUCCUUCAGAGAUGAGGGAGUGCUCGAAAGAGAGCCGUAACACAGGUGCUGCAUGGCUGUCGUCAGCUCGUGUCGUGAGAUGUUGGGUUAAGUCCCGCAACGAGCGCAACCCUUGCCAUUAGUUGCUACGAAAGGGCACUCUAAUGGGACUGCCGGUGACAAACCGGAGGAAGGUGGGGAUGACGUCAAGUCCUCAUGGCCCUUAUAGGUGGGGCUACACACGUCAUACAAUGGCUGGUACAGAGGGUUGCCAACCCGCGAGGGGGAGCCAAUCCCAUAAAGCCAGUCGUAGUCCGGAUCGCAGUCUGCAACUCGACUGCGUGAAGUCGGAAUCGCUAGUAAUCGCGGAUCAGAAUGUCGCGGUGAAUACGUUCCCGGGUCUUGUACACACCGCCCGUCACACCAUGGGAGCGGGUCUCGCCAGAAGUAGGUAGCCUAACCGCAAGGAGGGCGCUUACCACGGCGGGGUUCGUGACUGGGGUGAAGUCGUAACAAGGUAGGCGUAGUGCU
rnacentral:rRNA from 1 species